GCCCGAGUAGCUCUGUCGGUAGAGCACCAAACUCUUAAUCUCGGGAUCGUGAGUUCGGUCCCCAUGUUGGGCG